rnacentral:rRNA from 1 species
UACGAAGGGGGCUAGCGUUGCUCGGAAUCACUGGGCGUAAAGCGCACGUAGGCGGCUUUCUAAGUCAGGGGUGAAAUCCUGGAGCUCAACUCCAGAACUGCCUUUGAUACUGGAGAGCUAGAGUCCGGAAGAGGUGAGUGGAACUGCGAGUGUAGAGGUGAAAUUCGUAGAUAUUCGCAAGAACACCAGUGGCGAAGGCGGCUCACUGGCCCGAUACUGACGCUGAGGUACGAAAGCGUGGGGAGCAAACAGG